GGCUAACGCUGGCGGCGUGUCUUAGCCAUGCAAGUCGAGCGGACUUAUGGGGUAACUUAUAAGUCAGCGGCGGACGGCGGAGUAACACGUAGCUAACCUACCCUCUGGACGGGGAUAACCUACCGAAAGGUGGGCUAAUACCCGAUGUAGUCAUCCUGUAUAGGGGUGAUGAAAGGUGGGCUUCUGUUUACAAGCUCAUGCUGGAGGAGGGGGCUGCGGCCUAUCAGGUAGUUGGUAGGGUAAUAGCCUACCAAGCCGAUGACGGGUAGCCGGCCUGAGAGGGUGACCGGCCCGAGGGGCACUGAGAUACGGGUCCCACUCCUACGGGAGGCAGCAGGCUAGAAAUUUGGGCAAUUGGGGGAAACCCUGACCCAGUGACGCCGCGUGCAGGAAGGAGCCCUUCGGGGUGUAAACUGCUGUCGUGUAGGGGAAGGGUACUAAGGUGAACAAUCUUAGUACUUGACGGUACUACAGGAGGAAGCCCAGGCUAACCUCGUG
rnacentral:rRNA from 1 species